UUUCCGUAGGUGAACCUGCGGGAGGAUCAUUAUUGAAUAAACCUGAUGUGGUUGUAGCUGGCCCUUUCGGGAGCAUGUGCACACCCGUCGUCUUUAUCUUUCCACCUGUGCACCUUUUGUAGACCUGGAUGUAACACUUUCCGAGGCAACUCGGUCGGGAGGAAUGCUGUCAGCUUUCCUUGAAUGUCCAGGCCUAUGUUUUCAUAUACCCCAAAGAAUGUAACAGAAUGUAUUAUUGGGCCUUGUGCCUAUAAACUAUAUACAACUUUCAGCAACGGAUCUCUUGGCUCUC
rnacentral:misc_RNA from 1 species